rnacentral:rRNA from 1 species
UAGGGAAUCUUGCGCAAUGGACGAAAGUCUGACGCAGCGACGCCGCGUGAGCGAUGAAGGCCUUCGGGUUGUAAAGCUCUGUGGGGAGAGAAGAAUAAGUGCGGUCCAAUACACCGCGCGAUGACGGUAUCUCCUUAGCAAGCAUUGGCUAACUCUGUGCCAGCAGCCGCGGUAAGACAGAGGGUGCGAACGUUGUUCGGAAUUACUGGGCGUAAAGAGCGUGUAGGCGGCUCUGCAAGUCGGGCGUGAAAUCCCACGGCUCAAUCGUGGAAGUGCACUCGAAACUGCAGAGCUAGAGUCCUGGAGAGGAAGGUGGAAUGCUUGGUGUAGAGGUGAAAUUCGUAGAUAUCAAGCGGAACACCGGUGGCGAAGGCGGCCUUCUGGACAGUGACUGACGCUUAAGCGCGAAAGCGUGGGGAGCAAACAGG